UCUUAGGUGUUCUCGGGGGUAAGCGAGUCAGUACAAUCGGUUGCACAACCGUCCAGUCCAUAUCAUAAUUGUCAUAAUCAAUCAUAUCAGUAGGUGGCAUACUUGCCUGCUCAAGUCCAUCUACUAUGGAUGUGGGCUUGGACCAAGCCAUCCCCAAACACUGAACCGGAUCUUGAAAAUGGGACUGAACUGAAUCCGACUUCUUGGUAGCCCAGUGGCUUUUGGUCCCCAUCGGAAAGUGCUGAAUGGAUUGCUCCUUGCCCAACGACAAAAAGAAAUAAAUUUAGGAGAGGAUUGAUAGGCUUAAGCAUUCAGGGCUGGUCGCUCUUAUGGAUACCUGUGAGCUAGAGUCGGGAAUCGAAAAGGAGACAACGGAAGCCAUACAGAUCUAGUUGGGAAUGCUGUUCAUGCAGUGGAGAGCAUAAAUGACCGGCCCUUGAGGCGCGAGUAGACUUAUCAUAUAGAAAGGAAAGAGAUAAGCGGAGGGAGGAUGGUUUGAUGAUAGCCAAGAUCUCCAUCUCAUUUGUCACUCUCGUAUUCUUAAUAGGAAUCGGCAAGCAGAUACAACCACUAGGCCAUUGCCAUUCGACUAGUCUAUCAGAGUAUCCUACGAAGUCAGGUCCAGUAGGCGCAGGAUGCGCUAAGCCAUUCGAUCUUCCUGCUGGUGGUCCACCAUAGAGCUCCUAUGUAGCCGUUUGUUUUCUCGCUUAACUAAUUUGUAUGAGGUGAUACAGCUGAGAUCAGCCAACGGUUCGAGCACUUAGCACAAUGUGCCACUUAACCGGACGAGCGCAAGACCGGGUCUACCUACCUUACGACAUUUAUGAAAAACGAACGUUGUAUUAAGGGGUUUCUAUCAGUUAGUAACAAAGCCGGCAGUAUCCUUGAAUUCAGGGGUCAGCUACGGGAGGUAUGUUUCCAUGUGUGCCGAAGAAGCGUCUAUCAUUAUACGCUGUUUAUCCAAUCAAAAACUUCUUCGUUUAGUUGGUAGAACCCACGCCAAUAUCAUAUUGACUCUCUCUCGUCCAAUAAGAGUUUCCGAGAGUUACUUUAUUCAAAUUCUCUCCUUUCCAAAGCUCCACAAGGAAAAAAGAGUAAUAGGACAACAAUAUUGCUUUCAUUUAUUUUGAGUUCUUUCUUUGUUGAGAUGGAAAUCGACGUUCUUUUGAAAAGGGCUAGGUAGUUUGCGCGCAGGCAAAACUUCUUCAUGAAAGGUCAAAAAUAGACUUGGAUUUCAUGGGUUUCUUAAUGACUAGUCGUUCGUUUGAAGCCUGAAGAAACCGGCAGAGAAAGAGGCAAAG